ACCUGGGGGUGGCAGCCCAGCUCUUCUUAGGGGUGGCCAGUUGGGCAGCCAAAACUGAAACUAGCAGCUGGAGAGUGCAGCAUGCCCCAAAAUGCUCUGAAGAUAGUAAGCACCCUCGUAGCGCUAAUAUAGUAAUCACUUUUUUUACCAGCAGCUGGAUGGAGCAUAUGUGCAGUGUGCUCUCUUUGGAGAAGCUGUCUCUGUGAAUUACCGAGGUGCAGAACAAAAACAUCUGGCAUUCCCUUGUGAGGAAAGGUAAGCAUGGAUUCCUUAUUGCUGGCCAGUCCUAGCAGGGAUGUAUUGGCUCUGGCUGAGCUGGAGUUCAUUUCCCCGCAGUAGACCUCACAGCACUGUGCUUUGCAUUGGCAGCUAGAAGGGUGUGGAUAACACACCGGUGUUUUGGCUACUGCUGAGCAGGGCUGGCACAGCAUCAGCACUGUAACAUUCCUUCCUCAGUCGGGGGCAAGAUUCUGGAAGGGGAUACAAGUAGGCCAGCUGACCCAAACUGACCAAAGGGAUAUUCCAUACUUUAUGACAUCAGCUCAGAUAUGAAAGCUAAGGCAAGGAACAGGAAGGGGGGCAUUUAUUGUCUCCAGUGGCUGCCUGCUCAGGAACCAUGAUGUGUGCUGAAGCCCUGCUUCUCAGGAGUAACUGACCGUCGCUGCUAAUGGGAAGUAGAGAAUAAACCACCUUAUCUUUCA